rnacentral:rRNA from 1 species
GUUUGAUCCUGGCUCAGGAUGAACGCUAGCGGGAGGCCUAACACAUGCAAGCCGAGCGGUAUUUAUUCUUCGGAAUAGAGAGAGCGGCGUACGGGUGCGUAACACGUGUGCAACCUGCCUUUAUCUGGGAGAUAGCCCUCCGAAAGGGGGAUUAAUAUUCCAUAAUAUAUUAAUUGGCAUCAAUUGAUAUUGAAAGCUCCGGCGGAUAGAGAUGGGCACGCGCAAGAUUAGAUAGUUGGUGAGGUAACGGCUCACCAAGUCUGCGAUCUUUAGGGGGCCUGAGAGGGUGAUCCCCCACACUGGUACUGAGACACGGACCAGACUCCUACGGGAGGCAGCAGUGAGGAAUAUUGGACAAUGGGUGCAAGCCUGAUCCAGCCAUCCCGCGUGAAGGAUUAAGGUCCUAUGGAUUGUAAACUUCUUUUAUACAGGGAUAAACCUCUCCUCGUGAGGAGAGCUGAAGGUACUGUAUGAAUAAGCACCGGCUAACUCCGUGCCAGCAGCCGCGGUAAUACGGAGGGUGCAAGCGUUAUCCGGAUUUAUUGGGUUUAUAAGGGUCCGUAGGCGGGCCGAUAAGACAUUGGGAAAUCUCGCAGCUUAACUGUGAAAACUGCCAUUGAUACUGUUGGUCUUGAGUAAAUUUGAAGUGGCUGGAAUUAGUAGUGUAGCGGCUGAAAUGCAUAGAUAUUACUUUAAACACCUAUUGCGAAGGCGUCACUAAGAUUUUAACUGACGCUGAUGGACGAAAGCCGUGGGUAGCGAACAAGAUUUAAUACCCUGGUA